AUGCCUUCCUCCUUCCCUUGCCUUUCAGUCACCAUCCAACUCCCUCAUCUUGUGCCCCAGGUACUGAGCUCAGGCCUGGGGAAAGAGAGGGGGACAGCACUGCCCCCAGGAAUAGGAGUGGGUGGGGACCCUGGGCCCAUUGCAGGGAGGCCCAGAGGGAGGCGUGGCCCGCCCACGUGGGAAGCCGGCAGGUCUGGGGUCCCGGGAGCACGGGACAGAGGCCGCUCUAGGUGGCGGGCGGGCAGCCUCCUCCUCCCCUGCACCCUGGCCCUCUUCCUCCCCGCCUCCCUCCCGUUCACCUUCUGCUGGUUUUUCCGGGCCAACCUCAGGUUGCGUCUUCGCCAGGAAGCAUGUCCUCCUCCAGCACCCAGGGGGUCUCUCCACGCCUGCCUGGAUUCUGUAGAAUAAGCUCCCCAGGGCAUGGAGUCAAGUGCUUGAAGAAACUUGGCUUAUUUUUUUUCCCUUUUCUUACUAGAUGGGAAACUGCCUGCACAGAGCUAAGUUGUAUCUGACUCGUUGCAACCCUGUGGCUGUGUGGGCUCCUCUGACCAUGGGAUUCUCCAGGCGAGCAUACAGGAGAGGGUUGCCAUGCCCUCCUCCAGGCGAGCUUCCCGACUCAGGGAUCGAACCCGCGUCUCUUGCUCCUCCUGCAUUGCCAGGCGGGUCCUUUACCACUAGCGCCGGCUGGGAAGCGCGGAAACUGCUUGAGCGUUAGGCUUACAUCUCCCGAUUUAUGCUCAGCACAUAGUCAGCGCCCGGUGCGCACGGAAGACGCCCCCGAGCUCCCGCCCCGCCUCCAGGAUGCCCGUGGGAAGGGCACGCAGACGGAGCCUCCGUGGCUGGUCCAGGGAGCCUUGCUGGGGAGGCCCUUUGGAGGAGGGAAGCAGUUUGCAGACGGAGAGAGAGGUGAGGCUGUGGGCUUCUGCACGAGGCAGAGUUAUAACUGCCUCUCCUCUGCGGAGCGGGAACUCUGGGGUUGAGGGUUUUGCCUCGUUGCUCUUCAGCUCCUCCUCGGGCGGCCCUGGGGUUGACGGAGAAGCCCGCAGCCGUGGCUCCAGGACAGAUGACUCCGGUGGGAGCAGGUCGUGCUGAGUCAGGCUCCCCACGUCCCAGCCUGGAGCCCCAGUUUGUGCCGCGCUCGGUGCGGGGAGGGCGUUGGCUCUGGAGGGGCUUCCGCCCACGUCUGCGGCAGCAGUCUUGGCCUUGGCCGCUCCCGGUCCGCCCUGAGCUGCUGGCGGCCUGAAGCGAGGGCGCCCCGGCUGGGCACAGCGGGCUCUCGCUGCAGCUGGGCUCCUCGCCCACGUGUGCGCCUCCAAAACCCCUCACACACACCGCGGCUGUCGGGAAAGUUACCUACUUCCUUUCGGCUUCCCGGGUGGCACUAGUGGUAAAGAACCCGCCUGCUGGUGCAGGAGACGUAAGAGGCACAGGUUCAAUCCCUGGAGGCGGGCGCUGCAGCCCAGCCCUGUGUUCCUGCCUGGAGAAUCCCAUGGACAGAGGAGCCUGGUGGGCUCCACGGGGUCGCAGAGAGUCGGACGAGACUGAAGUGACUUAGCGCUCACACACCUGCUUCCUUUAAAAACUUACCUUCGACUGUCCCUAAGUAGCAGUGAGGGUGGCAACUGGCAGCCUCCAUGACCGAGCAGGGAAUCAGGUGUCACGGGCGCCCCGUCUCCGUGACCCCCGCGUAGGCUCAGACCCACCCCGACCUGUGCUGUCUCCCUCCCUCCGAGUAUGGGGGAUUGCCAGCGACCUUUUCUCUCUUUAAACGAAAGGCACAUCAAAAGAACAGAAGUUACGGCCGUGUUUGGGAAUCACGGGCAAACGCCUGGGCAAACAAGUACGCUUUCCACUCAGCGUUUAUAACGAGCAGCUCUUUGUGGUUGUGAGUCAAGGCCACAGAUGUUAAAGUCACAGGGAGGCGUGUUUCCAGGUGGGACAGGGGCCACGCUAAGAAAACGCUGUUCGCCCGCUGUCCUACCUCUGUCUGGGGCAAUCGUCCAGUUCAGAUCCCUUCACGCAUGGCCAGACCUUUGAUACGGGUCAAACCUGGCUGAAGAACAUUGGUUUUGAAGUCGACAGAAGCACAUCGCACUUUGCUACCACACGGCACAGGGCGGGACUCAGAACAGCGCGUGUCUGUGUGUCUGUCUGUGUGUGUGCCCGUGUGCAGGGAGGCAGACACUGUUGGCAGGCUCAGGGAUUGUGUACCAGAGGGCCAAUCAGGACAACAUAAAUCAUAGUAAGUAUUUCAAACAGAAUUUAAUACAGAAAUUUGGCUAUAGAAGUAUUGGAAGGACCGAGAAAACAGCCACAACCAAAGAGAGGGUGGGGAGAGACUACAGCAAGGACGGAAGGCAUGCGGUGAGAAAUUUAUGGGCGCAACACGGCGGCCAAGGGUCUGCAGAAACCUCCCCUGUGUAAAGACUUCCCAAACGUGUGGCUGCGGUUAGGGGAGAGCAUUAAAGCCCUGAAACGGAGUGUGA
ensembl:lncRNA